rnacentral:rRNA from 1 species
ACGGGGGGGGCAAGCGUUAUUCGGAAUUACUGGGCGUAAAGGGCGCGUAGGCGGCUAAAUUGGUCAGGUGUGAAAUCCCUCGGCUUACCCGAGGAACUGCGCUUGAUACCAUUUGGCUUGAGUACAGGAGAGGUGGGCGGAAUUCCAGGUGUAGCGGUGAAAUGCGUAGAUAUCUGGAAGAACACCGGUGGCGAAGGCGGCUCACUGGACUGUCACUGACGCUGAAGCGCGAAAGCGUGGGGAGCGAACGG